rnacentral:rRNA from 1 species
CAUUAGAGGAAGGAGAAGUCGUAACAAGGUUUCCGUAGGUGAACCUGCGGAAGGAUCAUUGCACACACAAGUUGCAGCCAACCCGCGGCGAACGAACACAUUGUCCCCCUUCGGCGGGUCGUGGCGCCUCGCGGCGUCGCGGCCGGCCGUCUCCCCUCGUCACGAGCGCGAGCUUCGUGGCGUCGGGUUUCCACACGAUGCAUCACCCGAAUGACUGAGUCCCGAAUAGACUUGGAUGGAGGAGUGGGUGCGUUCCGUCCCCUGGAGCGAGUGGGCUUUGCCUUAGCGAGCUCGAGGGGUGCGGCGCGCGCCGGUUACCUUACGACGAGUUGAAACAUAACCAAAAACAACUCUCAGCAACGGAUAUCUUGGCUCUUGCAACGAUGAAGAACGCAGCGAAAUGCGAUACGUAGUGUGAAUUGCAGAAUUCCGCGAAUCAUCGAGUCUUUGAACGCAAGUUGCGCCCGAGGCUUGUCCGAGGGCAUUUCCGCUAGAGCGUCACCGCGCCCCCCACCGAUCCACACUCCCGUCGCGAGGCGAGAGCGUCACAGGGUCGAGUGAAAGUGGCCGUCCCUCGGUGAAGUGGCCUUCUCGCGAAGGCCAAGUUCUUGAGGGUCGGCUGAAAUGGAUGGAAUUGGGCCGCCGUGGUGACACAGUCCGCGAUCGGGUGAUUUCGUGGCGAGCCUCCUCCGGGAGGGUCGCCGUGAAUUUUUCUAAGUGCGUGUCUGCGUCCCCCAGUUGGCUUCGGUUCCCUCAUGCAGGUCGAGCGCGCCCCCCGCGGCGCGCGUCACGCAUCAGACCUCUAAUCGGAAAAGACUACCCGCUGAGUUUAAG